rnacentral:rRNA from 1 species
UACGAAGGGUGCAAGCGCUAAUCGGCCUUACUGGGCGUAAAGCGUGCGUAGACGGCCUUUUAAGUCUGCUGUGAAAGCCCUGGGCUCAACCUGGGAACUGCAGUGGAUACUGUGAGGCUGGAGUGCGGUAGAGGAUGGUGGAAUUCCCGGUGUAGCGGUGAAAUGCGUAGAGAUCGGGAGGAACAUCAGUGGCGAAGGCGGCCAUCUGGACCAGCACUGACGUUGAGGCACGAAAGCGUGGGGAGCAAAUAGG